UCCUAGUUUCCUAGGCAGUCCCAUCAGAGUGCCUCAUAGAGUAGCAACUGAUGGCAAGGGUUGCGCUCGUUAAAGGACUUAACCCAACAUCUCACGACACGAGCUGACGACAGCCAUGCAGCACCUGUGCAUCUGUCUAGACUUACGUCUAAAAAAUCAUAUUUCUACAACGGUCAAAUGCAUGUCAAGCCCAGGUAAGGUUUCUCGCGUAGUAUCGAAUUAAACCACAUGUUCCACCGCUUGUGCGGACCCCCGUCAAUUCCUUUGAGUUUUAAUCUUGCGACCGUACUCCCCAGGCGGGUCACUUAACGCGUUAGCUACGACACCGAUUUUGCCAAGCAAAACCGACGUCUAGUGACCAUCGUUUACAGCGUGGACUAC
rnacentral:misc_RNA from 1 species